AUUUUGUCGAGACAGAAGACUGGAGCAGACAGCUAUUCGGUCUGCUACAAUAAGCUGAUACCCAUCUUCUUGCUCAGGUGGACACUUUUCACGGUAAUGGUUAAGGAAAGAAAAGAUUAAGUGGAUCAAAAGGACAAGACGGUGAUUGGGAGUAGUCAGCAUGGAUUUAUGAAGGGGAAAUCAUGCCUGACAACCUGACAGCCUUCUACGAUGAGAUGACUGGCUCUGUGAAAGAAGAGAGAGCAGCAGAUAUUGUUUAUCUUCACUUAGAGGACCGGUUCUCUACAUGCGGUUUUGUCUCGACAUUGCUGCUGCUGCUGCUGGAAAGCCGCUGGUGCCAAGGCGCGUCGGGCAAUGCCGCGUGGGCGCCCCCGGGAGCCAUCUGUGAGGUAAACAACCUCGUGCAUCUGCACGAGGUAAAAAGGGCGCGAAAAGGGCAGAAGGUCAUCUCUAGGGCAUGAACUGCACGUACUCAUUUGCCAUCUGCGCAUGAGCAGGAGACCCCCAGAUGCCCCCAGCCCUGCGCAUGACAGUUAAUCUGCAUGGGAAGCGAGGAAGCACCUCCCAGAGGUGGGGCAAGAACCUAUAAAAACUG